UACGGGGGAUGCAAGCGUUAUCCGGAUUUAUUGGGUUUAAAGGGUGCGUAGGCGGUCUGGUAAGUCAGCGGUGAAAUUUAGGGGCUCAACCUCUACCGUGCCGUUGAUACUGCUGGACUAGAAUGCGGAUGCCGUGGGAGGAAUGUGUGGUGUAGCGGUGAAAUGCAUAGAUAUCACACAGAACACCGAUUGCGAAGGCAUCUCACGAAUCCGCAAUUGACGCUGAGGCACGAAAGCGUGGGGAUCAAACAGG
rnacentral:rRNA from 1 species